rnacentral:tRNA from 1 species
GUCCCAUUCGUCUAGCUGGCCUAGGACAUUGCUUUUUCGUGGCAGCAACACGGGUUCAAAUCCCGUAUGGGGCA